CCUACGGGCGGCAGCAGUGAGGAAUAUUGGUCAAUGGGCGGGAGCCUGAACCAGCCAAGUCGCGUGAGGGAAGACGGUCCUAUGGAUUGUAAACCUCUUUAGGCGGGGAGCAAUGCCGGGCACGCGUGCCCGGAGGGAGAGUACCCGCAGAAUAAGCAUCGGCUAACUCCGUGCCAGCAGCCGCGGUAAUACGGAGGAUGCGAGCGUUAUCCGGAUUUAGUGGGUUUAAAGGGUGCGUAGGCGGAUUUUUAAGUCAGCGGUAAAAUGUCCGGGCUCAACCCGGGCCGGCCGUUGAAACUGGGGAUCUUGAGUGGGCGAGAAGUAUGCGGAAUGCGUGGUGUAGCGGUGAAAUGCAUAGAUAUCACGCAGAACUCCGAGUGCGAAGGCAGCAUACCGGCGCCCGACUGACGCUGAGGCACGAAAGCGUGGGGAUCGAACAGGAUUAGAUACCCCAGUAGUC
rnacentral:rRNA from 1 species